rnacentral:rRNA from 1 species
GGGUUGUGAGGUUAAGCGACUAAGCGUACACGGUGGAUGCCCUGGCAGUCAGAGGCGAUGAAGGACGUGCUAAUCUGCGAUAAGCGUCGGUAAGGUGAUAUGAACCGUUAUAACCGGCGAUUUCCGAAUGGGGAAACCCAGUGUGAUUCGUCACACUAUCAUUAACUGAAUCCAUAGGUUAAUGAGGCGAACCGGGGGAACUGAAACAUCUAAGUACCCCGAGGAAAAGAAAUCAACCGAGAUUCCCCCAGUAGCGGCGAGCGAACGGGGAGCAGCCCAGAGCCUGAAUCAGUGUGUGUGUUAGUGGAAGCGUCUGGAAAGGCGUGCGAUACAGGGUGACAGCCCCGUACACAAAAAUGCACAUGCUGUGAGCUCGAUGAGUAGGGCGGGACACGUGGUAUCCUGUCUGAAUAUGGGGGGACCAUCCUCCAAGGCUAAAUACUCCUGACUGACCGAUAGUGAACCAGUACCGUGAGGGAAAGGCGAAAAGAACCCCGGCGAGGGGAGUGAAAAAGAACCUGAAACCGUGUACGUACAAGCAGUGGGAGCACAGAGCAAUCUGUGUGACUGCGUACCUUUUGUAUAAUGGGUCAGCGACUUAUAUUCUGUAGCAAGGUUAACCGAAUAGGGGAGCCGAAGGGAAACCGAGUCUUAACUGGGCGUUAAGUUGCAGGGUAUAGACCCGAAACCCGGUGAUCUAGCCAUGGGCAGGUUGAAGGUUGGGUAACACUAACUGGAGGACCGAACCGACUAAUGUUGAAAAAUUAGCGGAUGACUUGUGGCUGGGGGUGAAAGGCCAAUCAAACCGGGAGAUAGCUGGUUCUCCCCGAAAGCUAUUUAGGUAGCGCCUCGUGAAUUCAUCUCCGGGGGUAGAGCACUGUUUCGGCAAGGGGGUCAUCCCGACUUACCAACCCGAUGCAAACUGCGAAUACCGGAGAAUGUUAUCACGGGAGACACACGGCGGGUGCUAACGUCCGUCGUGAAGAGGGAAACAACCCAGACCGCCAGCUAAGGUCCCAAAGUCAUGGUUAAGUGGGAAACGAUGUGGGAAGGCCCAGACAGCCAGGAUGUUGGCUUAGAAGCAGCCAUCAUUUAAAGAAAGCGUAAUAGCUCACUGGUCGAGUCGGCCUGCGCGGAAGAUGUAACGGGGCUAAACCAUGCACCGAAGCUGCGGCAGCGACGCUUAUGCGUUGUUGGGUAGGGGAGCGUUCUGUAAGCCUGCGAAGGUGUGCUGUGAGGCAUGCUGGAGGUAUCAGAAGUGCGAAUGCUGACAUAAGUAACGAUAAAGCGGGUGAAAAGCCCGCUCGCCGGAAGACCAAGGGUUCCUGUCCAACGUUAAUCGGGGCAGGGUGAGUCGACCCCUAAGGCGAGGCCGAAAGGCGUAGUCGAUGGGAAACAGGUUAAUAUUCCUGUACUUGGUGUUACUGCGAAGGGGGGACGGAGAAGGCUAUGUUGGCCGGGCGACGGUUGUCCCGGUUUAAGCGUGUAGGCUGGUUUUCCAGGCAAAUCCGGAAAACUAAGGCUGAGGCGUGAUGACGAGGCACUACGGUGCUGAAGCAACAAAUGCCCUGCUUCCAGGAAAAGCCUCUAAGCAUCAGGUAACAUCAAAUCGUACCCCAAACCGACACAGGUGGUCAGGUAGAGAAUACCAAGGCGCUUGAGAGAACUCGGGUGAAGGAACUAGGCAAAAUGGUGCCGUAACUUCGGGAGAAGGCACGCUGAUAUGUAGGUGAAGUCCCUCGCGGAUGGAGCUGAAAUCAGUCGAAGAUACCAGCUGGCUGCAACUGUUUAUUAAAAACACAGCACUGUGCAAACACGAAAGUGGACGUAUACGGUGUGACGCCUGCCCGGUGCCGGAAGGUUAAUUGAUGGGGUUAGCGCAAGCGAAGCUCUUGAUCGAAGCCCCGGUAAACGGCGGCCGUAACUAUAACGGUCCUAAGGUAGCGAAAUUCCUUGUCGGGUAAGUUCCGACCUGCACGAAUGGCGUAAUGAUGGCCAGGCUGUCUCCACCCGAGACUCAGUGAAAUUGAACUCGCUGUGAAGAUGCAGUGUACCCGCGGCAAGACGGAAAGACCCCGUGAACCUUUACUAUAGCUUGACACUGAACAUUGAGCCUUGAUGUGUAGGAUAGGUGGGAGGCUUGGAAGUGUGGACGCCAGUCUGCAUGGAGCCGACCUUGAAAUACCACCCUUUAAUGUUUGAUGUUCUAACGUUGACCCGUAAUCCGGGUUGCGGACAGUGUCUGGUGGGUAGUUUGACUGGGGCGGUCUCCUCCUAAAGAGUAACGGAGGAGCACGAAGGUUGGCUAAUCCUGGUCGGACAUCAGGAGGUUAGUGCAAUGGCAUAAGCCAGCUUGACUGCGAGCGUGACGGCGCGAGCAGGUGCGAAAGCAGGUCAUAGUGAUCCGGUGGUUCUGAAUGGAAGGGCCAUCGCUCAACGGAUAAAAGGUACUCCGGGGAUAACAGGCUGAUACCGCCCAAGAGUUCAUAUCGACGGCGGUGUUUGGCACCUCGAUGUCGGCUCAUCACAUCCUGGGGCUGAAGUAGGUCCCAAGGGUAUGGCUGUUCGCCAUUUAAAGUGGUACGCGAGCUGGGUUUAGAACGUCGUGAGACAGUUCGGUCCCUAUCUGCCGUGGGCGCUGGAGAACUGAGGGGGGCUGCUCCUAGUACGAGAGGACCGGAGUGGACGCAUCACUGGUGUUCGGGUUGUCAUGCCAAUGGCACUGCCCGGUAGCUAAAUGCGGAAGAGAUAAGUGCUGAAAGCAUCUAAGCACGAAACUUGCCCCGAGAUGAGUUCUCCCUGACUCCUUGAGAGUCCUGAAGGAACGUUGAAGACGACGACGUUGAUAGGCCGGGUGUGUAAGCGCAGCGAUGCGUUGAGCUAACCGGUACUAAUGAACCGUGAGGCUUAACCUUACAACGCCGAAGGUGUUU